rnacentral:lncRNA from 1 species
CAUUAACAAGCACUGGGAGUUGUGCCUAUUUUUAAGUGACCUCUUAUUUAACAUGUAAUCCUAUAGCUUUGCUAACCUAUGUGUUAAAUUAUUUUGUUGCUUUUUGAAAUAUUACAGACCCAUAUUUUUCUGUUAGUAUGUUUUAUUAGAAAUCUGCUAGAUAGAUGCUCUGUAUCUAUUCUCUACCAACAGUUCAUGAGUACAGCCAUACUUACAGACCAGUCUGAACAAAAUGCAAGGCAAAACUAUUAAGAUGAUUCUGUCCCCAGGCAGCUCACAAACUAGUUCAUACACAAACUCCGUUGGCUUAUUUCUAACUAGGAGUCAGAAAUCUAACACAGUUUAAUAACAUAUGUGAGCACAAAGAAACAUUUUACUGAUAAAACAUUCACUCAAAUUACCCAUUAUAAACAAGGGGAAAAUUUUAUCCUCUUUCCUUUAUAUUUAAUUUAACAGUUUGCAUAAUUUUGUUUCCAUUAUAUUCUGUUACAGCUAAUAGUAUUAUUUGCUUCCCAUUUGUUUUUGCUUCCUGCUGUUGAAUGAACAAUCAGUAUUUACAGAUUAGCAGCAGUUGUAAAGUGCCCUGACUUUCUCUUCCAUUUCAAAGUUACAAGUGAGAAGCGCAUUAUAUUAGUUGCUCUGGCAUUUUUGGAGUAGCUUAGGCAUUCACAGUGCAAACCACUGUUAUUCAUACUGUUAUAAUUCCUCUGCAGUUAAGUCAUUACUAGCAAUCAGAGCAGGCUUGUAGUACAAUUCCUUUUUUGGGAAUGUCAUGUGAGAUGCCCAGAGCAAUAUGAAAAAAAUAAAGGCCAACUUGUCUGGCUGUGGAGGGAUUUAUAGCAGGCCCACUGGCAGAGAUCUGCUGGGAAGUAUUAAGAGCUCCUGCUUAGCUGAUCAUAUAAACACCCAAUCCAGCAGGAUGCCAUCUCUUCUCUCAAACUCAUCCUGGUUAUUUCUUGAACACUUUACACUGCGAGAAAAUAAAACAGUACUCAGAAAAAUUAAGUUUCUCUUGGUUUAG